GUGGAUUAGAUACCCUGGUAGUCCACGCCGUAAACGAUGAGUGCUAGGUGUAGAGGGUAUCGACCCCUUCUGUGCCGCAGUUAACACAAUAAGCACUCCGCCUGGGGAGUACGGCCGCAAGGUUGAAACUCAAAGGAAUUGACGGGGGCCCGCACAAGCGGUGGAGCAUGUGGUUUAAUUCGACGCAACGCGAAGAACCUUACCAAGGCUUGACAUCCAUAGAAUCCUGAGGAAACUUAGGAGUGCCCUUCGGGGAGCUAUGAGACAGGUGGUGCACGGCCGUCGUCAGCU
rnacentral:rRNA from 1 species